rnacentral:rRNA from 1 species
GUACACACCGCCCGUCAAGUCAUGGAAGCUGGGAGCACCCGAAGUCCGAUUAGCCAACCCGCAAGGGAGGCGUCGGCCGACGGUGAGCUCGGUGACUGGGACUAAGUCGUAACAAGGUAGCCGUAGGUGAACCUGCAGAAGGAUCA